UACGUAGGGACCAAGCGUUGUUCGGAUUUACUGGGCGUAAAGGGCGCGUAGGCGGCGCGGUAAGUCACUUGUGAAAUCUCUGAGCUUAACUCAGAACGGCCGAGUGAUACUGCAGUGCUAGAGUGUGGAAGGGGCAAUCGGAAUUCUUGGUGUAGCGGUGAAAUGCGUAGAUAUCAAGAGGAACACCUGAGGUGAAGACGGGUUGCUGGGCCAACACUGACGCUGAUGCGCGAAAGCCAGGGGAGCAAACGGG
rnacentral:rRNA from 1 species